GACGAACGCUGGCGGCGUGCCUAAUACAUGCAAGUCGAGCGGACAGAUGGGAGCUUGCUCCCUGAAGUCAGCGGCGGACGGGUGAGUAACACGUGGGCAACCUGCCUGUAAGACUGGGAUAACUUCGGGAAACCGGAGCUAAUACCGGAUACGUUCUUUUCUCGCAUGAGAGAAGAUGGAAAGAUGGUUUCGGCUAUCACUUACAGAUGGGCCCGCGGCGCAUUAGCUAGUUGGUGAGGUAAUGGCUCACCAAGGCAACGAUGCGUAGCCGACCUGAGAGGGUGAUCGGCCACACUGGGACUGAGACACGGCCCAGACUCCUACGGGAGGCAGCAGUAGGGAAUCUUCCGCAAUGGACGAAAGUCUGACGGAGCAACGCCGCGUGAACGAUGAAGGCCUUCGGGUCGUAAAGUUCUGUUGUUAGGGAAGAACAAGUACCAGAGUAACUGCUGGUACCUUGACGGUACCUAACCAGAAAGCCACGGCUAACUACGUGCCAGCCGCCGCGGUAACAC
rnacentral:rRNA from 1 species